rnacentral:misc_RNA from 1 species
GAUGAAGAACGUAGCGAAAUGCGAUACGUAAUGUGAAUUGCAGAAUUCAGUGAAUCAUCGAGUCUUUGAACGCACAUUGCGCCCCCUGGUAUUCCGGGGGGCAUGCCUGUCCGAGCGUCAUUGCUGCCCUCAAGCUCAGCUUGGUGUUGGGGCCGGCCCGUCACAGGGCCGCCCCUAAAAGCAGUGGCGGUGCCAUCUGGCUCUACGCGUAGUAAUACUCCUCGCGACAGAGUCCCGGUGGUGUCCUGCCAGAACCCCCCAUCUUUUUAAUGAUUGACCUCGGAUCAGGUAGGGAUACCCGCUGAACUUAAGCAUAUCAAUAAGCGGAGGA